rnacentral:misc_RNA from 1 species
GAUGAAGAACGCAGCGAAAUGCGAUAAGUAAUGUGAAUUGCAGAAUUCAGUGAAUCAUCGAAUCUUUGAACGCACAUUGCGCCCGUCAGUAUUCUGGCGGGCAUGCCUGUUCAAGCGUCAUUACGCCCCUCAAGUCCCCUGUGGACUUGGUGUUGGGGAUCGGCGAGGCUGGUUUUCCAGCACAGCCGUCCCUUAAAUUAAUUGGCGGUCUCGCCGUGGCCCUCCUCUGCGCAGUAGUAAAACACUCGCAACAGGAGCCAGGCGCGGUCCACUGCCGUAAAACCCCCCAACUUUUUAUAGUUGACCUCGAAUCAGGUAGGACUACCCGCUGAACUUAAGCAUAUCAAUAAGCGGAGGA